ACGCUCGACACCUACGGGAGGUAGCAGUUAGGAAUAUUCGUCAAUGGAGGAAACUCUGAACGAGCAAUGCCGCGUGAGCGAUGAAGGCCCUAUGGGUCGUAAAGCUCUGUUGUAAAGGAAGAAUACUUGAUAUAGGAAAUGAUAUCAAGCUGACGGUACUUUACCAGAAAGCCCCGGCUAACUACGUGCCAGCAGCCGCGGUAAUCUGAGCGGGCGUGGCGAAGGC
rnacentral:rRNA from 1 species